GGCAAAUGCACUCUGUGUCACAUCGAUUAAACCACAUGUGAUGUCAAUUUGUUAGUUUGCUAAAUCGAAGAGAUGCGCUUAUCCAUGUGAUUAAUGCCGAAUCAGGGUGAUUGCAUUGAAAACGCAUAUUACACCGU